AAUUGAUGGGGUUAGCGCAAGCGAAGCUCUUGAUCGAAGCCCCGGUAAACGGCGGCCGUAACAAUAACGGUCCUAAGGUAGCGAAAUUCCUUGUCGGGUAAGUUCCGACCUGCACGAAUGGCGUAACGACUUCCCCGCUGUCUCCAACAUCGACUCAGCGAAAUUGAAUUGCCUGUCAAGAUGCAGGCUUCCCGCGGUUAGACGGAAAGACCCCGUGCACCUUUACUACAGCUUCACACUGGCAUUAGGCCGAGCAUGUGCAGGAUAGGUGGUGGGCUUUGAAACCGGAACGCCAGUUCCGGUGGAGCCUCCCUUGAGAUACCACCCUUGCUCUGCUUGAUGUCUAACCGCGGUCCGUUAUCCGGAUCCGGGACCCUGUGUGGCGGGUAGUUUGACUGGGGCGGUCGC
rnacentral:rRNA from 1 species